rnacentral:lncRNA from 1 species
UAACCUUCCCGGGGCUGUCCAUGCCAGCAGCUCCGCGUGAGGGAGGGGCCCGCUCCUGCUUGGUGAGAGAGUCAGCACGCGGUGGCCUGCAGUGUCUUCUGUGGCUUCAGCGUCACCUAGUGCAGGCUGCCAUUCAACAAACGCAUUGUCAACAGUCAACCAAAAGAAACCCAUUGGCCACCAUACCCUGAGGACUAACCCUGACACAGAUGCCCUUCCAGAUGCCCUCAAUAGUCUAACUGAUUCCAUCGCCCCAGCCUUGGGGGAGAAGCACUGCUGCCUAUGCACUCCAUUUACAGGCUAAAAUCACACUCGAUGUUUUUAUGGGAUCAUUUGAUCUGGACAUUGUCAAAGAAAAAAUUGCACCAGACAAGUUAAACCUUCAAGGAAGGACUCAGUCAGGACUACUGCAAUACGGAAGAGAGGAGCUUAACUUCAUUGAAACAAAAGGCUGGAGAGUUUUUAAGUGCCGGGGUGAGAUGCUGAGAAGGAACUGGAGACAUCAGGAAGAGGUUAGGAAAUGCCGUAAAGCUAUCUGCGUUGGCUCAUUGGAAUUUUUCAAAACUGGGAAUCUGCCCUUCUACAAAAACUGAGACACAGAUGUAUCAUCUCCUUCAAUAAUUGCAUUUUAAAGGGAUGGCUCUGAAGUCUUGAGAAAGGCAUUCCUGGGUUGCAAAACUGGGAGGAGGCUAGAAGAAAAUUUGGGAGAUUUGCCUCUCAAAGAGGUAGAGAAAGAACUCACAAUUGCAAGUUUCCUAAAAUAAAUCCUCCGUGAAAAAAGGAGGCCUGAUGGAUGGAACUGGAGGUCAUUAUGUUAAGUGAAAUAAGCCAGGCACAGAAGAAAAAUACUGCAUGUUCUCACUCACAUGUGGGAGCUUAAAACCUGGAUCUCAUGGAGAUA